UACGUAGGGGGCUAGCGUUGUCCGGAUUUACUGGGCGUAAAGGGUGAGUAGGCGGUUGUAUAUGUCAGAUGUAAAAGGCGUGGGCUUAACCUACGUUAGCAUUUGAAACUGUACAACUUGAGUGCGGGAGAGGUAAGUGGAAUUCCUAGUGUAGCGGUGAAAUGCGUAGAUAUUAGGAGGAACACCAGUGGCGAAGGCGACUUACUGGACCGUAACUGACGCUGAGUCACGAAAGCGUGGGUAGCAAACAGGAUUAGAUACCCUGGUAGUCCACGCUGUAAACGAUGAGUGCUAGGUGUUGGGUAGCGAUACUCAGUGCCGAAGUAAACACAAUAAGCACUCCGCCUGGGGAGUACGGUCGCAAGACUGAA
rnacentral:rRNA from 1 species